AUUGAACGCUGGCGGCAGGCCUAACACAUGCAAGUCGAGCGAGCGGCGGACGGGUGAGUAAAGUAUGGUCACUGCCCGAUAGAGGGGGAUAACUACAGGAAACGGUUGCUAAAACCGCAUACUAUCGGAUACCUCAUAUGGGAUCUGCUAGUAGGUGGGGUAAGGGCUCAACUAGGCGACGACCACUUGCUGGUCUGAGAGGAUGAUAAUCCACACUGGAACCGAGACACGGCCCAGACUCCGACGGAGGCAGCAGUGGGGAAUAUGGCACAAGGGGCGCAAGCCUGAUGAAGCCAUGCCGCGUGUAUGAAGAAGGCCUUAGGGUUGUAAAGUACUUUCAGCGGGGAGGCGUUACCGUCAGAAGAAGCACCGGCUAACUCCGUGCCAGCAGCCGCGGUAAUAC
rnacentral:rRNA from 1 species